GGAGUUAGCCGGUGCUUCUUCUGUGAGUGAUGUCCUUCCUGCCGGCUAUUAACCCGCAGGCCUUCUUCCUCACUGAAAGUGCUUUACAACCCGAAGGCCUUCUUCACACACGCGGCAUGGCUGGAUCAGGGUUGCCCCCAUUGUCCAAUAUUCCCCACUGCUGCCUCCCGUAGGAGUCUGGGCCGUGUCUCAGUCCCAGUGUGGCUGAUCAUCCUCUCAGACCAGCUACGGAUCGUCGCCUUGGUGAGCCGUUACCUCACCAACCAGCUAAUCCGACAUAGGCUCAUCCGAUAGCGCGAGGCCCGAAGGUCCCCCGCUUUCCCCCGUAGGGCGUAUGCGGUAUUAGCCUGGGUUUCCCCAGGUUAUCCCCCACUACCGGGCAGAUUCCUAUGCAUUACUCACCCGUCCGCCGCUCGCCACCAGGGAGCAAGCUCCCCGUGCUGCCGCUCGACUUGCAUGUGUUAGGCCUGCCGCCAGCGUUCAUCUGAGCCAUGAUACAACUACUGA
rnacentral:rRNA from 1 species